rnacentral:rRNA from 1 species
CCUACGGGUGGCAGCAGUGGGGAAUAUUGGGCAAUGGACGCAAGUCUGACCCAGCAACGCCGCGUGAAGGAAGAAGGCUUUCGGGUUGUAAACUUCUUUUAAGGGGGAAGAGCAGAAGACGAUACCCCUUGAAUAAGCCACGGCUAACUACGUGCCAGCAGCCGCGGUAAUACGUGGGUGGCAAGCGUUGUCGGGUUUUACUGGGUGUAAAGGGUUCGUAGGCGGAAUACAAAGUCAGCGUUAAAAUCUCGGGGCUCAACCUCGCACCGCAGUUGAAACUGGCAGUCUUGAGUGGGCGAGAGGUAGGCGGAAUUCGUGGUGUAGCGGUGAAAUGCAUAGAUAUCACGCAGAACUCCGAUUGCGAAGGCAGCAUACCGGCGCGCAACUGACGCUGAAGCACGAAAGCGUGGGUAUCGAACAGGAUUAGAUACCCCGGUAGUC